UACAGAGGGUGCAAGCGUUGUUCGGAAUUACUGGGCGUAAAGCGCGUGUAGGCGGUCUGUUAAGUCUCGUGUGAAAGCCCCGGGCUCAACCCGGGAAGUGCGCGAGAUACUGGCGGACUGGAGUGGCGGAGAGGAUGGCGGAAUACCCGGUGUAGAGGUGAAAUUCGUAGAUAUCGGGUGGAACACCUGUGGCGAAGGCGGCCAUCUGGACGUCAACUGACGCUGAGACGCGAAAGCGUGGGGAGCAAACAGG
rnacentral:rRNA from 1 species